rfam:Lactococcus garvieae Lg2 DNA, complete genome.
AUGCGAUGAGUCGAUGCUCUACUUUGGUAGAUUAUUGAAGCACGGGAGUUCUGGAACAUUGGGUUGUUCGUGCAGGAAGCAUGAGAACUUGUUAGCGCGUGUGAACCGUUCUGACACAACGAAAGUUGCCCGAAAGACCUCUCUUUUGAGAGGUCUUUUUU